rnacentral:lncRNA from 1 species
AAAUUCAAUUUGUUAUUCUUGUAUAUAUAGUUGAAUGUACAGGUUACAAAUACACUUUGAGAAAGAACACAAAAAUCACACGAAUCCUUCCUCUAUACUGCUUCUUCUUCCUUGUUCUUCUCUGUUUCUUUUCUUCAUCUUCUUCUCUACUGUAGCUUUAUGAUCAUGCAUGAUUAACAUGCAUCAGCUACAAGAAGAUUAACAUGGUAUCAGAGCCAGCACAGUAGAGCUUCAAGAUCUCAGCCAAAACCAUGGCAAUUGUCGAUAAUGAGUUGCCUGAGAAGCUGAGCCAUAAUCAUCCUUUGUUCUUACAUUCAAUAGAUAAUUCAGGCGUAUUACUUAGUUCAAUUCAACUAACUGGAGCUGAUAAUUUUUCAGUAUGGAGUCGAGCUAUGAAAAUUGCAAUUAUAGGUCGCAAUAAACUUGGAUUCAUUGAUGGAUCAUGUAGAAAAGAAUUAUAUGGUCCUAACUUGACAAAUCUGUGGGAAAGAUGUAAUGCUAUAGUGCUGUCGUGGAUUAUGAAUUGUGUUUUGAAGGAGUUACUUGGAGGUAUUGUUUAUUCUACCAAUGCAGCAGCUGUGUGGAAGGAUCUAUGUGAAAGAUAUGACAAGAUUGAUGGAUCACGUAUCUUUCAACUACACAAAGAGAUUGCUACUGUUAGCCAAGGUACAAGCUCGAUCUCAAGCUAUUUCUCUAAGCUACGUGAGUUGUGGGUAGAGUAUGAUAGUUUGGCACCUGUUCCUGGGUGUGAUUGUGUGAAUUCAAGAGAAUUUGUAGUGUUCAUGCACAAUCAGAAGUUACUGCAGUUUCUCAUGGGAUUAAAUGACUCAUAUGAGCAAGCUAGAAGCCAAAUACUAAUGAUGGUACCUUUGCCUACUAUAAAUAAGGCAUACUCACUGCUUAUUGAAAGAGAAAGCCAACGUAUCAUGUCACAAACUUCUCACAGUUCAAGUUCAUCUGAUCUAAAUGCCUUGUUUACUGCUCAAUCAUCAAUUCCCAAACCAAGGUUUAAUACUAGUUCAAGCUAUGAUCCAAAUGCAUUUUGUGAGUACUGUAAAAGAACAUGACACAUGCAAGCUGUGUGUUAUAAGCUUCAUGGAUAUCCACCUGGUUAUGAAAGAAAGAAGAGAGGUUCUACUGGUCCUACUUACAAUGGUCAAGGGAGAGGAAGAUCAAGUAAUGAUAGGAGAUCAUAUCCAUCUGCUAACAAUGCAAUUAGUGACACUGAUCAUUCUGAUUUUAAUAGAGUUGAGAAUCCAAGAAAUCAAGGUUGUGGUAGAGGUGAUAGUCAAGCUGAUUCUGUUGAUUAUCACAAAGGAUUGAAUGCAUUGCAGGAACAAUAUAAUCAAAUAUUGCAGAUGCUUGGCCAAUCAAAUAGGCAGAACACCACUGAAAGAGACUCAAAUUCACAUUCCAGUGCAAAUCUAGCUCAAGAGAACUAUCCUUCAUCAGGUAAUGUCACUGCUCUUUCAGCUAGUAUAGCACAUACAGGAUGGAUUAUAGACUCUGGUGCAACAAAUCAUAUGACUCCUCACUCACAAUUAUUGAUUAACAAACAUCCAUUGCCUAGUGAUGCACCUAGAAGUGUACAACUACCAAAUGGAGAUAGUACAUUGAUCACACAUACAGGUUCUAGUAGUAUGACCUCACGAGACAUUAUCAAUAAUGUUCUUCUUAUUCCUGACUUUAAGUUCAGUCUAUUGUCAGUCUCAAAAAUUACAAAGGAUCUACAGUGUGCAGUAUGUUUCUAUCCUGACUUUGUGACUACUCAGGAUCUCUCCAGUGGGCAGGUGAAGGUGAUUGGUAGAGAACAGGCUGGACUUUAUCUCAUUCCUCAUCCUUCAUCUCCUGCAGCUAGUACUCAAGCAUACUCUCAUUUGGUUCAUGAUGGUUUAUCAAGUUCACAAACUGUUCUAUGGCACCAAAGACUAGGUCAUACUUCAUCUAAUGUUUUAGCUAAAACUCUCAAUCUUCCAGUUACACAGUGCUCAGAUGAGGUUCACAACUGUACCAUAUGUCCUCUAGCUAAACAACCAAGACUUCCUUUUCCAAAUAGCUCUACUAUAUCUUCUAGUCCAUUCCAGUUUUUACAUAUAGAUGUUUGGGGUCCAUUUCAUACUCCUACAUAUGAUGGCAAUAGAUUCUUUGUCACUAUAAUGGAUGAUUGUACUAGAAUGUUGUGGCUGUUUCUAAUAAAGUUGAAGAGUGAUGUUUGUGUUGUAUUGAAAAUUUUCUUUACUCUAGUCAAAACUCAAUUCAACUUAUUAGUUAAAAGCAUUCGUACUGAUAAUGGUUCUGAGUUUGUUAACACUGAGUGUACACAUUUGUAUACAAGCUUGGGUAUUGUUCAUCAAAGAACCUGCAUACACACUCCUCAACAGAAUGGUAUAGCUGAAAGAAAACACAGACACAUACUUGAGGUAGCUAGAGCCAUCAGAUUCCAAGGAAAUAUUCCUAUCAAAUUUUGGGGGCACUGCAUUCUUAAUGCUGCAUAUAUUGUAAACAGAUUGCCUACAUCUGUUUUGCAUGGUAAAUCUCCAUUCGAAAUGUUUCACAAGUGUAAACCUUCCCUACAGCAUAUGAGGGUGAUAGGUUGUCUAUGUUUUGCUAAAAACAUGCACAUUAAGGACAAAUUUCAUUCUAGGAGUGUCAUUGCUGUACACAUGGGCUAUAGUGCUCAUACAAAGGGAUAUAUGUUAUACAACAUCAAGGACAAAACAUUCUUCAUUAGCAGAGAUGUACUAUUCAGAGAAACUAUAUUUCCAUUUGCUUCUCCUUCAUCUACUGCAUGGCAAGUGUUCCCUAAGGUUGAUGAAUCUUUAGAGAUUGCACCUUUGUUCCAGCCUACUCCUACCACAGUUGUAAAUACUGAGUUAGUUCCAGCUCAAGAUACUUCUUCUAUAAGAAGAUCACAAAGAAGUACCAAAGCUCCUUUAUGGCUACAGGAUUAUGUUGCAUCUACUCAGCUUCAAUCCAAUAAACCUCUGUAUUCCAUUGAUAAGUACAUUGGCUAUGACAACUUGUCUUCUUCUUAUCGAGCCUUCCUUACUUCAUUUGGUACUGAAGUUGAACCUACUUCUUUUGAGGAAGCCUGUAAGGAUCCAAGGUGGGUUGAAGCAAUGCAAGCUGAAAUAUCAGCUUUGGAGUCCAAUCAAACAUGGCAGGUGGUUCCCUUACCUACUAACAAGAAAGCUAUUGGGUGCAAGUGGAUUUUUAAAAUCAAGUAUCAUGCCUCUGGUGAGAUUGACAGGUUUAAGGCACGUCUAGUGGCAAAAGGAUUUAAUCAAAGAGAAGGGCUGGAUUAUCAGGAAACCUUUUCUCCAGUUGUGAAAAUGGUGACUGUUAGGAGUGUACUGUCCUUAGCUGCAAAAGAACAUUGGCAUGUUCAUCAGAUGGAUGUGUCUAAUGCAUUCCUUCAGGGAGAUUUACAUGAUGAAGUCUAUAUGGUACUUCCUUUUGGCUUUAAGCCUCCAAAGGGCUUUAGUGUGCAGGGGGAGAAACCAGUGUGUAGGCUCACUAAAUCCCUAUAUGGAUUAAAACAAGCACCUAGGCAAUGGAAUGAAAAACUCACUGAAGUUCUUGUCAAAUUGGGAGUUGUACAAAGUCAUCUUGAUUACUCAUUAUUCAUCAAGAAAACUAGUACAUCUCUGGUUAUACUUUUAGUAUAUGUAGAUGACUUGAUCAUCACUGGAAGUGAUAUCAAUCUCAUUCAACAAAAAGCACUUUACAAGAAAACUUCAAAAUGAAAGAUCUAGGGAAUCUCAGGUAUUUCCUUGGAAUUGAGUUUGCAAGAUCACAAGAGGGCAUUGUAAUGCAUCAAAGGAAAUAUUCUUUGGAGAUCAUAUCUGAGGCAGGUCUUAGUGCAGCAAAACCUGCUGCUACUCCAUUGGAUCCUUAUGUACAGUUAACUACUAAAGAUAUGAUGAAAUAAAUGGAACAAACAGAGAUGAUAAAUUGUUGACAGAGCCAACAGUGUACAGAAGAUUAGUCUAAAUGUCACUAGACCAGACAUAUUGCAUUUGCUACACAGACUCUAAGUCAAUUUCUACAUCAGCCCAAACAAUCUCAUCUAAAUGCUGCCCUCAAGGUAGUAAGAUAUGUCAAAAGGCAAGCUAGAUUGGGUGUUCUAUUAUCAAGUGCAAAGAGCAAAGAACUUCAAGUUUACUGUGAUUCAGACUUGGGUAGCUGUCUACAUACAAGGAGGUCAGUUACAGGUUUCAUGGUAAAGUUGGGAGGCUCACUAAUAUCAUGGAAGUCUAAGAAGCAAGCAACCAUUUCUAGAAGCUCAACUGAAGCUGAGUACAGAAGUAUGGCAAGUGCAGUGGCUGAAGUUGUGUGGUUAGUGAAGCUAUUCAAAGAACUUGGAGUUGAAGUACACACUCCAGUAACUAUAUACAGUGACAGCAAGUCAGCUAUUCAAAUAGCUGCUAAUCCUGUGCUACAUGAAAGGACAAAGCAUAUAGAGUUGGACUGUCAUUUUAUAAGAGAGAAGAUACAGAAUGGAUUAGUGCAAACUCAAUACUUGAACACCAAAGAACAAGAAGUAGACAUGCUAACAAAAGGCUUGGGAAAAACUCAACAUGAAUAUCUCCUAUCCAAGUUUGGUGUAUUGAACCUAUUCAUACCUACAAACUUGAGGGGGAGUAUUAAAGAAGGGAUUACUUAAAGCUUUAGUGUUAGGUUCAUUAUGUAAAUAAUUGUAAUUAAGAGGACUAUCCAUCAAAGAAGUUGUUAAAGUAGUUAGAAGAUUGUUAGAGUAGUUAGAAUAAAUUCAAUUUGUUAUUCUUGUAUAUAUAGUUGAAUGUACAGGUUACAAAUACACUGAGAAAAUACACAAGGAUCACACGAAUCCUUCCUCUAUACUGCUUCUUCUUCCUUGUUCUUCUCUGUUUCUUUUCUUCAUCUUCUUCUCUACUGUAGCUUUAUGAUCAUGCAUGAUUAACAUGCAUCAGCUACAAGAAGAUUAACAGUUGCCCUCUUCUGACUUUUUCCGUGUGGAACUGAUCAUAUUAUAUUAAUCAUAACAGUUGCUGCAGGCAAAAAGACAUGGCAUUGAUCUACCUCAGAUCAUUGAGAAGCAUGAACAAUUCCCAAAGAGUUGAUUCAAAUGGGAGGCUGCAGAACAUUUGCUGCUGGCAGUAAAUCAAAGAAGGGUGGUAAAGGGGGUGCAGCUGCC